rnacentral:rRNA from 1 species
UACAGAUGGACCCGCGGCGCAUUAGCUAGUGGUGAGGUAACGGCUCACCAAGGCUGCGAUGCAUAGCCGACCUGACAGGGUGAUUGGCCACACUGGAACUGAAAUACGGCCCAAACUCCUACGGGAGGCAGCAGUAGGGAAUCUUCCGCAAUGAACGAGACUCUGACGGAGCAACACCACGUGAGUGAUGAAGGUAUCCGGUUCGUAAAGCUCUGUUGUUAGGGAAGAACAAGUGCCGCUCAAAUAGGGUGACACCUUGACGGUACCUAGCCUGAAUGCCACGCCUAACUACGUGCCAGCAGCAGCGGUAAUACGUAGGUGGCAAGCGUUGUCCGGAAUUAUUGGGCGUAAAGGGCUCGCAGGCGGUUUCUUAAGUCUGAUGUGAAAGCCCCCGGCUCAACCGGGGAGGGUCAUUGGAAACUGGGGAACUUGAGUGCAGAAGAGGAGAGUGGAAUU